rnacentral:rRNA from 1 species
AGAAUCAACGCUGGCGGCGUGCCUAACACAUGCAAGUCGAACGAGAAAGUGGAGCAAUCCAUUAGUGAAGUGGCGCACGGGUGAGUAACACGUGACUAACCUACCCUUGAGUGGGGGAUAACCUAGAGAAAUCUGGGCUAAUACCGCAUAAUACCUUCGGGUCAAAGGAGCAAUUCGCUUAAGGAGGGGGUCGCGGCAGAUUAGUUAGUUGGCGGGGUAAUGGCCCACCAAGACAGUGAUCUGUA